rnacentral:tRNA from 1 species
GGGCCCGUAGCUCAGCGGUAGAGCAGGCGUCUUAUACACGCUUGGUCGCAGGUUCGAUCCCUGCCGGGCCUACCA